GACGAACGCUGGCGGCGCGCCUAACACAUGCAAGUCGAACGGAGCUGAGAGAAGCUUGCUUUUCUUAGCUUAGUGGCGAACGGGUGAGUAACGCGUGAGUAACCUGCCCUGGAGUGGGGGACAACAGUUGGAAACGACUGCUAAUACCGCAUAAGCCCACGAUCCGGCAUCGGCUUGAGGGAAAAGGAUUUAUUCGCUUCAGGAUGGACUCGCGUCCAAUUAGCUAGUUGGUGAGGUAACGGCCCACCAAGGCGACGAUUGGUAGCCGGACUGAGAGGUUGGACGGCCACAUUGGGACUGAGACACGGCACAGACUCCUACGGGAGGCAGCAGUGGGGGAUAUUGCACAAUGGGGGAAACCCUGAUGCAGCGACGCCGCGUGGAGGAAGAAGGUUUUCGGAUUGUAAACUCCUGUCGUUAGGGACGAUAAUGACGGUACCUAACAAGAAAGCACCGGCUAACUACGUG
rnacentral:rRNA from 1 species